rnacentral:rRNA from 1 species
GACGAACGCUGGCGGCGUGCUUAACACAUGCAAGUCGAACGGAAAGGCCCUGCUUUUGUGGGGUGCUCGAGUGGCGAACGGGUGAGUAACACGUGAGUAACCUGCCCUUGACUUUGGUAUAACUUCAGGAAACUGGGGCUAAUACCGGAUAGGAGCUCCUGCUGCAUGGUGGGGGUUGGAAAGUUUCGGCGGUUGGGGAUGGACUCGCGGCUUAUCAGCUUGUUGGUGGGGUAGUGGCUUACCAAGGCUUUGACGGGUAGCCGGCCUGAGAGGGUGACCGGCCACAUUGGGACUGAGAUACGGCCCAGACUCCUACGGGCGGCAGCAGUGGGGAAUAUUGCACAAUGGGCGGAGGCCUAAUGCAGCAACGCCGCGUGCGGGAUGACGGCCUUCGGGUUGUAAACCGCUUUCGCCUGUAACGAAGCGUGAGUGACGGUAAUGGGUAAAGAAGCACCGGCUAACUACGUG